AAACAGAAGAGAGAAGGAGAAAGAAAAGAAAAGAGAAGAUCAGUGAAGGUGUUGAUUUCAGAUCUAUUAUAAUGUUAAUAUCAAUUGUUCAUGUUUAAGAAUACAUCACUUUACUGUUGCAGUGAUUAAAAAGCUCGAGAAAAUUAUUGAGAAAUAGUUGCAUAAGAGGAAAGUUGAAGAAGAUGAUUGGGCUUGAUUUGAUCGUCAAAACAAGUACUGAAGGGUAUUUGAGGGUCAGGUCCGUCGUAGUCCUACAAUUAUACAAUAAUUAAGCUCGCCCGUAAUCAAUGAUAACAGAGGGCCAGGUUUGCAAUGAGUAUGCGUUCAGCAAAUGUACUCGUGUCUGACUUAGUUGGAGAGUAUAAAGCAAAAUGAAGUAAUGGAUCUAAUCCAAAGAGGAAAAGAGUGAGAACAGAGAAUUUUGUUGGUGGAGAUACAUUUGUUGUAGGCAUUGUAACUCCACAGAAGACCAGGAAGAAAUCUACCUCAACAACUGCAUCUUCAAGCAAACACUACAAGAAAACAUGGCUUAAGCGACCAAAAUCCCAGCAAGAGCCCAUAAUUUUAGUCACUUUAAGGGUUUAAGCAUCCAAAGUUGCAACUGCCAUAAAGUUUGGCGGCUACAAACCUGUGUCAUCUAAUAUCUAGCCACGACUGAAUGUGUUUGCUCGCUACAUCACUCUUUCAAGUCAUCUAUAGCAGCUUGAAAAGUGCUCGGGUAGCUAUUUACUUUGAGGCACCGACUCCUAGCAACUAACAAAUGAAUCGGUUGGUACAACCUCUCUAUGAGCAACCAAGUUUAAGCGGCCACCACAUGUUCAAAAGAGAAGUCAGUUUUGGAAGUAGGCAUUUGAAACCAAUAAUGAUCUCAUUUUAGUUUCUUAUUAGUUAGAUUAGUGUCAUACGGAUCAUGGUUGUUAUCUUAGUUUACUAUUAGGGGUGCACAAUGGCAUGUCGGUCUGGAUUUUAGGAAAAACCAUUGACCAAACCGUAUACACCUCGGUUUUCGAUUUCAAAACUGCCACUGAACUGUUGAUGGAUUGGUUGCGUUUGAAACCGAUCCCAGUCCGCUCGGUCAUUUUCUGGCUACUACUGUUUUAACUAGUUUCAAAUGAGAAGAAAAAAACAAACAAAAGAAAUCAAAAAACUAUCCUACAACAUGAAAUAGAUCUCGGAGCUUUACCGAACCCUUGAAAAUUUAAAAUUAUAUCGAUAAUUCCUUCGGUCAAAAAAAAUGUGGAACUUGGUCAAUUAUGCCGAUUAACGCAUCAGUUCUCAUCUCGGUGAAAAAUAGAAAUCAGCUUGGCCAAGGUGAAAUUUUUGGUCUCGGAUAAAUUAAGUGAACUAAAUGGAUAUCUGAGUUGACUUAAUAGUCAACCAUAUAAACGCAUGGAAUCCAAGAAAAAUCGAGUAACUAUUGAAUAAAUUUGAUUAAUAACGGGUGAAAUUCGUUUGAAAUUAAUAGGCAAUAAUACAAUUAUACCCAUGGAAUCCAAGGAAAAUCGUGUGGAGCGAGCGAUGUUGGAUAAGGUUAAUAUAUAACAGGUGAAAUUG